GUCCCAGUGGCCGAGUGGUUAAGGCGAUGCCCUGCUAUUUCGUAGAAGUAGCUGUGAGGCAUUGGGUUUUACCUUCGCAGGUUCGAAUCCUGUCUGUGACG